UUAUAAUUUUUUCUUGUUUAGCUUCGGUAUGCCGCUUUGCUCUGAAGGGAAGUGGGGGGGGGUCUAUAUGGUCUGUGGUGGUAAAUUGAUAGAAAGAGAAGCAAGAAGCCCAUGUUCCCCCAGAUCGAGUAUAUCCUGGUCCUGAAAGGUGUAUCCAAGCUUCCUCAUGUCAUGUUUAAGUAUGAAUCACUUGUUUAUUGCGACAUGGACCACUGAUAUCUGAAAUAUAUGAAAAAGAACAUCAGGGCCCAAGAAAACAUAUGCCCUCGUAAAAGUAAAAGAAUGUACCAGUAAAAGAAAUGCUCCAGUAGAAGUGCUCUGUUAUUUUUAGUGUCAGUACCUCCAACUAAUAGAAUUACAAUAGACGGUAACCCAAAAAUAUGUCCAUCUCCUGAACUUCUUUGUUGAACUGUGGGACUAACACAAUGUACACUCUCAAGGAAACGAAAACUUCCCAAACUGAAGAGACUAGACCAAAAAAACCGUAAAGACCGAACGCCCGGGCUUAUCCUCGCGUUCUAUAUAGUAUUUAUGUUUAAUAACCAAUUCAACAUCAUCCAAGUAAAUUGCUAGCAUCCAGGUAAGAAAGUGCUCUGAAGCAAUGAAAAAACUAACCAAUUCAGCAUCAUCAAUGAAAGAAU
rnacentral:lncRNA from 1 species